GGAGCCGUGCCUGAAACCAUAGGGUCACUUUGAUAGAGUGAAACAUGGAGGUUAGAGUCCUCCCAGCUCCU
rnacentral:tRNA from 1 species